GAGUUUGAUUCUGGCUCAGAGUGAACGCUGGCGGCGUGCCUAAUACAUGCAAGUCGAACGGAGAUAUGAGGGCUUGCUCUUAUAUCUUAGUGGCGCACGGGUGAGUAAUGUAUAGCUAAUCUGCCCUACACUAGAGGACAACAGUUGGAAACGACUGCUAAUACUCUAUACUCCUUCUUUACAUAAGUUAAGUCGGGAAAGUUUUUCGGUGUAGGAUGAGGCUAUAUCGUAUCAGCUAGUUGGUGAGGUAAUGGCUUACCAAGGCUAUGACGCGUAACUGGUCUGAGAGGAUGAUCAGUCACACUGGAACUGAGACACGGUCCAGACUCCUACGGGAGGCAGCAGUAGGGAAUAUUGCUCAAUGGGGGAAACCCUGAAGCAGCAACGCCGCGUGGAGGAUGACACUUUUCGGAGCGUAAACUCCUUUUCUUGGGAAAGAAGG
rnacentral:rRNA from 1 species